rnacentral:rRNA from 1 species
CCUACGGGUGGCAGCAGUGAGGAAUAUUGGUCAAUGGGCGAGAGCCUGAACCAGCCAAGUCGCGUGAGGGAGUACUGCCCUAUGGGUUGUAAACCUCUUUUGUCGGGGAGCAAAAGCCAGACGUGUCCGGCUGUGAGAUUACCCGUAGAAAAAGCAUCGGCUAACUCCGUGCCAGCAGCCGCGGUAAUACGGAGGCUACGAGCGUUAUCCGGAUUUAUUGGGUUUAAGGGGUGCGCAGGCGGAUUUUUAAGUCAGCGGUAAAAUCGUGGGGCUCAACCCCAUCCAGCCGUUGAAACUGGGGAUCUAGAGUGUGCGAGAGGUAGGUGGAAUGCGUGGUGUAGCGGUGAAAUGCAUAGAUAUCACGCAGAACCCCGAUUGCGAAGGCAGCAUACCGGUGAACAACUGACGCUCAGGCACGAAAGCGUGGGUAUCGAACAGGAUUAGAUACCCCAGUAGUC